UACGUAGGGGGCAAGCGUUGUCCGGAUUUAUUGGGCGUAAAGAGCGUGUAGGCGGCCAGAUAGGUCAGCUGUGAAAACUCGAGGCUCAACCUCGAGACGUCGGUUGAAACCAUCUGGCUAGAGUCCGGAAGAGGAGAGUGGAAUUCCCGGUGUAGUGGUGAAAUGCGUAGAUAUCGGGAGGAACACCAGUGGCGAAGGCGACUUCCUGGCCUGUUCUUGACGCUGAGGCGCGAAAGCUAGGGUAGCAAACGGG
rnacentral:rRNA from 1 species